UGGGGGAUAUUGCACAAUGGGCGAAAGCCUGAUGCAGCGACGCCGCGUGGGGGACGAAGGCCUUCGGGUUGUAAACUUCUUUUGCUCUGAACAAGGCAUGCUAAUGGGUGUGUUGAGUGUAGGGGUUGAUUAGCGCCGGCUAACUACGUGCCAGCAGCCGCGGUAAUACGUAGGGCGCGAGCGUUGUCCGGAAUUAUUGGGCGUAAAGGGCUUGUAGGUGGCUGGUUGCGUCUGUCGUGAAAGCUCAUGGCUUAACUGUGGGUUUGCGGUGGGUACGGGCUGGCUUGAGUGCAGUAGGGGAGGCUGGAAUUCCUGGUGUAGCGGUGGAAUGCGCAGAUAUCAGGAGGAAUACCGGUGGCGAAGGCGGGUCUCUGGGCUGUUACUGACACUGAGGAGCGAAAGCAUGGGGAGCGAACAGG
rnacentral:rRNA from 1 species